UACGUAGGGGGCUAGCGUUGUCCGGAAUCAUUGGGCGUAAAGAGCGUGUAGGCGGCCCGAUUAGUCCGCUGUGAAAGUCCAGGGCUCAACCCUGGAAUGCCGGUGGAUACUGUCGGGCUAGAGUCCGGAAGGGGCGAGUGGAAUUCCUGGUGUAGCGGUGAAAUGCGCAGAUAUCCGGAGGAACACCGGUGGCGAAGGCGGCUCCUGGACCGACACUGACGCUGAGGCGCGAAAGCCAGGGAGCAAACGGG
rnacentral:rRNA from 1 species